CGCCCACAUCCUCUCCCCUAGAAGAGGUUCCGGAAACUUCCUUCAGGUCAAGAGGCUGAGCCCUGAACUCCCACAUGGCCCCGGCCACCUGGCUUCAGACCAGCCUGGCCCAGCCAAAGCCUCCCUGGGAAGUGCCCCAAGCAUCCUUUGAAACUCACUGAGGAAGUAAGAGGAGGAUGUGGGGGCCUCUGGGCAGGCAGGGGGCACGUGGGGGACGCUUCCCAUCACUCUUACAGAUCGGGGGUUCAGAUGAGGAUUUCCGGGCUUUUAGAAUGAAGAGGCCGCCUGCCAGGGGGGAAGAGAGGGCAGCGCAGGUUCUCAGACUCGCUGCCUAUUUGAAUUGCUCAGGGGGCUUUAAAAAAAAUCCCAGUGCCCAAGCGAUGCCCCAGACCAAAUCCAUCCAGUCCCUGAGAGGAGACCCAGGCGUGAGCAUUUAUAAAGCUGCCCCCAGGACGCCAGUGCAGUCAGGUCUCAGAGCCACCCGCCCAGACAGAGCUUCUGGAAGUGGGGCCUUGGGCCCCAGCAUCAGCACCACCCGGGAACCUGCGCUUCACCCCGACCCUCUGGACCUGACACCUGGGCUGGGGCCAGAGACGUGUGCCUGGACCGGCCCUCCGGACGACCCUGCUGCGCCCUGGGAACCAGAGUUCCAGAAAGAUCUGGUCCGUUCAGGGUAAGGGCGAACGCGAAGAUCCCGAGACGCGGCCGGACGCCCACACUCACGCCGGACGCAGUAGAGGCCCAGCUGCUCGUAGCCCUCGCAGCAGCGGGUCACGUUCCUCCGCUCGAGCACGUCCACCGCCAGAAGCGCCCUGUGGCAUACGUCCCUGAUGCCCCUUGCCCAGAUAAAGAGACUGAGGGUCCAAGACGCCAUGCAGCUGGAAGACCACAUUCUUCACUGAACACGCCCUGCCUGGCCCCCCUUCAUACCGGGAGGACACCCAGCCUCAGACCCCCAGAGGGGAGGACAAAGGCAAGACACGUUGCCAGCUGAGCGCUUCAUGCCAGUUGGAAAUUGUACAUAAAAUGCUGUCACACCGGGCUCUCUUUAUAUCAAAAUUCCUAUGAUUAAAACAAAUAAACCCCUCAAA